UUGGUUCUUGUCAUGGAUCGGAAUAUCACGGGUCGGACCCGUUCCUGAACUUGAUUCUCGCGUUUGGUAUGUGCAUGGAACGGUGACCCACUCGUUCCCGCGAACCGAAUCCGGAACGAGGUGAGACCUCGAAUUCGAGCGGACGACGCGGAACCGUCUCCCCCUCGUCUCUCUCCCGCAACCCCAUCCCCUCUCGCCCUCCUCUCUGGUGCGCCGCCUCCCCCUCGUCUCUCUCCUCCCUCGAUCCGCGCCACCGGCAGCUCCUCUCCUUCAUCUGCGCCGCUGACUGUCCUGCCUCCACGCCACCGUCUCCCUCGUCUUCUCCUCAAUCAGUUGCAGGGCGGCGGACGAGCGGCUGCGGGGCGACGGUCUUGAAGCUGGGCGGCGAGCCAGGCUACUUCGGCGCGAGUAUUAGAAGCCAGCCAGCGGCAGCCACACCUGGUCGGCGGCAGCAUCAGCUUGCCUGGGCAGGGCCGAGAGAGGAAAGGAGCAGACGGCGUUCAGGAUUGAUGGAUGCGUUCAGUUCUGCUAGAUGCGUUCAUGCCAAACUCAACCUGUCCCUGAUGCUUGCAGUGAGAAAUUUUUAUUUUGUUCAUGCCUGUAGAUUUCUGCUGGAUGCGUUCAUGCCAAAACAGACUCUUCAUGUGAAUAGAAAACAGUGAGAUUUUUUUUCAUGUAUGAACUGUAGAUCCUUUUCAGAUUAUAUCAAUUGAUGAUGCUAAAAAUGUAAAGAGCUAUAAUUGUGACAAUGUAUAUACAUAUGUGAGAGUCCCACCAUUUAUAUGCAAAGAUUUGAGAUAAAC
rnacentral:rRNA from 1 species